ensembl:snRNA U1 U1 spliceosomal RNA
AUACUUACCUGGCAGGAGAGAUACCGUGAUGAUGAAGGUGGUUUUCCCACGGUAAGGCUUAUCCAUUGCACUCUGGAUGAGCCAGACCCCUACAGUUUCCCCUCAAUUGCAUAAUUUGUGGCAGUGGGGGACUGCAUUUGUGGUCCCCUC